GUAUUGCUUCUGCAGUACAUACACUAAAAUUGGAACAAUGCACAGAGGAUUAGCAUGGCCCCAGAGCAAGGGUGACAUGCAAAUUCACGAAGCAUUCCAUAUUUUU